CUCCUACGGGAGGCAGCAGUGGGGAAUCUUGCGCAAUGGGCGAAAGCCUGACGCAGCAACGCCGCGUGCGGGACGAAGGCCUUCGGGUUGUAAACCGCUUUCAGCAGGGACGAUUAUGACGGUACCUGCAGAAGAAGCCCCGGCCAACUACGUGCCAGCAGCCGCGGUAACACGUAGGGGGCGAGCGUUGUCCGGAUUUAUUGGGCGUAAAGAGCUCGUAGGCGGCUCGGUAAGUCGGGUGUGAAACCUCCAGGCUCAACCUGGAGACGCCACUUGAUACUGCCGUGGCUAGAGUCCGGUAGGGGAGCACGGAAUUCCUGGUGUAGCGGUGAAAUGCGCAGAUAUCAGGAGGAACACCAGCGGCGAAGGCGGUGCUCUGGGCCGGAACUGACGCUGAGGAGCGAAAGCGUGGGGAGCAAACAGGAUUAGAUACCCUGGUAGUCCACGCCGUAAACGUUGGGCACUAGGUGUGGGUCCUUACCAACGGGAUCCGUGCCGUAGCUAACGCAUU
rnacentral:rRNA from 1 species